UUCUGUUUGUGAUAUUUUAUGAUUGAAAUUUCCUGAAUUAAGUUGAUCUGUGUUAUCUUAUAUUUGUCAGAAAGUUUAAUAAUCUUUAAUGUCUCUGUUAUUAUUCCAGGAAAAGAUAGAAUUGUAAUAGUCUGACAAUGACAAGUAAUUGCUUAGACUAUUUCUUUUUUCUUGGCUUAGGGAUACUAAAUUUGUAAUAUAUUAAGCUUACCAUCACAAUAAGAAAUAUUCUUCUUUCUGACUAAAACAACCAGAAUUUAAUAUUUUUGUAUUACUUGAUGAGAAAAAUCCAUUUGCAGUUGAGCUAAAAACAAAAGAAAACAAACAACAGCAAUAAGAAAAACAAAGGAAACACUGUGUUGUUUUUCUGUUCCACGGAGGUGAAAGAGAACAAGACUCAUUAUACUCUCACUUUUCCUAGAUUGAAAAUUUCUCUUAAAAUUGGGUUUGGGAUCUAAUUCCAUAAUUCUUUUUUUUUUUUUUUUGUCUUAUAGUAAAGAAUAUAGCUGCCAUUUUUAUUUUGCAGGUGACAACCGAACCUUAAACUAUUUCUACCAAUGCUACCAGUAAAUCUAAUGAGUUAGCAUUAGCUUUUCAUAAAGUCAUAACUUUGCUCUGGUGAAUACAUUUUCAGUUGAACUGUACUCAAGAAAAAUUCCAUCCCAGCACUUUACUUAAAAGAUUGUUUAAUGUUUUGUUUUGUUUUUGGAUUAGCUGUAAUUGCAGAAAAGAAGUCCUCAGAGCGCAGAGUGAAAGUCUUUACAGCUGCGAUUGUCUCCCCAGUGGUAAUGACAGGUUUAAUUUAAAACUGCAUCCUCUUCUCACUCAGAUCAUCUUAAGACCAACGACUCAGAAUUGCUCUUUAGAGUUAGGAGUUGGCCAUGGUAUCAAGUGCCGAUAACGUGGUCUCCACAGGAAUUCAGAUUCUGAUUUGGGCCUCGCUGUGUUCUAAUCAAGGAACCUAAUGAACUACACUCAUGGUAAGUUCAUCUAGUCGGAAGCCUUGGACUGUUCCCAGACUCAGAGUCAAAUGUUUUAAGUGGUAAUCAAGUUUCCCUUGUUAUUGCUCAUAUUUAAUCAUCAGAAAAUUCUGUGUAUUUAUGUCGAUAUUUAAAGAAGAAUCUUUGAUUCCAUGUGCAUGCUAAAUGCGAAUUGGCUGUAUAGAGUUAUGCCGUUUGACCUUCUUCAACACACGGUGCGGAGUGCAACACUUCCCUGCAGUGCUUCUCUUCUGUGACUUUUUUUUUAACACUUAAAUUUGCAUUUUUGUUCAAGGUGAUGUGAAGAAGUUCAAUGCUACUAGCACAUACAAUUGAUUCAGUACUUUAAGAGAUAAAAAUUAUUUUGAUCAGUCUAUUCAACAACAAUUUAUUAAGAAGCUAUUUUGUGCCAAGCACUGUGCCAGAUACUAAAAAAUAGUGAACGUGGAAAUGGAAAAAAGAAGAAGAUUGAAACUGAUCUAAUAGUCCUACCAACAGUUGCUUUUUAGAUGAACAUAGAAAUUAACCCUCCUGGUCUUAAAGUUUGAAACUUACAUGUUUUAUCUGAGUUUCUUCCUCAGGAAAGGAUCCCCAGGGCUCUCAAAAAAAAAGUGUCAAAGAACUGAAACUCACCAGAUCAUGACAUCCAGACAAAGAGAUGCCGGACCCCUCAUCCACCAUGAUUACUUCCUUACCCCUCCUGCGUUUCUGUUUUCUCACACAUUGCUACAUUUUUCUCCCUGCUAUAUAAAUCUCCUAAUUUUAGCCCAUCAGGGAGAUGGAUUUGAGACUGAGCUCCUGUCUCCUGGGCUGCAGCACCUGGUUAAAGCCUUCUUCCUUGGCAAUACUUGUUGUUUCAGUGAUUGGCUUUCUGUGCAAUGAGCAGCAGGACCUAGACUGAACCCCUGGUGUUUCAGUAACAAGAUUGCUGAGGAAAAAGAAAUGAUAUUAUACACAACGUAUAUGUUUAUUGAUUGAUCUUGUUUAUAAGUUGUAGAUCUGAUAAAUCUGAACUAUAAAAAUAGGGAAUCAAUAAAUAGAUUCAUACAUUUAUUGGUUUUAUUAGUUGACACUUGACAAUAAAGUAUGGAAUUUUCCUCCUCUUUUUUGGUUCAUCAAGGCUAUUCUAUAAGGUGGGUUGAAACUCCAAGAAGGUUCAAAAUAAUCCUUCCCUUACACCCCUACAAGAAACUUCAGUUCAUGAACUUAACACCAGUAUGUAUAUUUUUCCAGAGGGUUGGGAAUGAUCUUGAUAGAGAUCAAUAGAAAAGGAAAUUGUGGACUUAUUGGGAAUAGAAAUAGGAAGUAUAGCAGAUUUCAAAAUAGAAAUUGAAGUUUUUGCAUUAAGGACUUGUAAGAGAUUGCUACAAGCAAAACAGACAAAAAUCCCAGCUCUUAAAGUUUUCACAUUUAUGGUUAUAGAUUACAAACUGUCUUUGCAAUGAGACAGGGUGUGGUUUUGCAAACUGGCAGCUAUGCAACAAUAUAAUGGAAAAAUAAUGCAAAACUUUUGCAGGGUAAAAAGGUGACUACUAUAAAGGAUGCAAUAUUUCAUGAAAUCAAUAAAAGUAAUAUUAAAGAACUGCACAUUUCAAAACAAACUCAGUGACAAAUGGAAGUUUAUCAGUCUAGACCAGCUAAUAACUGAAGAAAAGAGAAAAAAAACAGCACUGAUGAAUAAUAGCUAAGUUAAAUAGAAUGGCUCCACCACCAAAGAAUUCAGAAAGAUCAUGGAAAAUUGUUGAAACCUUGACAUUCUUUACAAAAAUUUACAAAUGUUAUUUAAAAUAUCAAACAUAAAGUAAGAAAUUCUAUACCUGUAUACUAUCAGAAAAAAAUAUAUGCCCAAUUCAACCCCUAACAUCUUAUUAAUUUUUUUCCUUAGGAUGAAUCACAAUUAUAACCUUAUUAUUAUUAAAAGUAAAAUAAACUUAUUUUAUAACGUACGUUUUAUUGAGAAAAUCUUAGGAAAGCCUCUCCCAUCCCUUACCCCAUUAUUUACUGUGAACCUCUAUUCAGUGGCUUUAUCAAGAGCCACUGAUCAAGGACCUUUUUUAUCUCUAUGCGAACAGCCUUCUUAGCCUUCCAAUUUUGAGGUCCAUUCAAGUCAAGCAAUUCACUUUUGUUUUGGUUCAGCAGUUGGAGAAUUGCUGUAUUUCCGAUCAUCAUAUUCAUCCCACUGGAUUGUAAGGAUAUCUUUCAUGUUUAGUAUUCUCUAAGUCAGAGAAAUUUUAAAAUUUAGAUCCCCAAAAUGAUAGUCUGCUCCACUGAUCACAUGUAUCUAUGUAUUAGUUUUCUAUUGCUGCAUAAAAAAAUGAACACAAACUUAGCAACUUAAAACACAUAUUUAGUAUCUUACCAUUUCCAGGGGUCAGAAUCUGGGUGCGGCUGGUCUGGGUCACCUGCUCAGAGUUUCAAGGGGUUUCUCAGGUUUCACCAUCAUCUGGAGGAUUAACUGGAGAAGAAUCUGCUCUCAAGUUCCUUCAGGGACUUGGCAGGAUUCAUUGUCUUCAGGUAGUAUGCCUGAAGACUUUCGGCUUUUCACUGGAGUCUGCUGGAGGCUGCCCUCAGGCCCUAGACAUCACCGGCAGUUCCUACCCACUCAGGCUUCUCCAACACUGGCCUUUACUUUCCCAGGCCCACAACAGUGAAUGUUAGUCCUGUUGCUAAGCUACAGUCUUCCAGAACAUAAUCAAAGAAGUGGCUUCCAUCACCUUUGUCAUCAUCUAUCGGUUAGAAGCAAGUCACAGGUCUUGCCCACACUCAGUGAGAGGGAUUACAUGAAUGUGUGACCACCAGGAGAUGGUAACAAUUGGGGUCAUGAGGGGAUAUGACUGCUACAAUCUCCCAUCAUCAAAAACAAAAACAGGAAUCUGGCUGCUCCUCCUUGCUGUCUUUUGCUCAUGAAGCUGCCUAAAGGGUGACUCAGCACUAUGCAACUUCCAGGUACCAACUAUGAGAUGCCAAAGUCCAUCCAAAGGAUGGACCCAAGGCUACUGGAUCUUAAGGUUUCAGACAAGUGUGUGAGACUUUGUACAUGAAGUUGGAGAAUGCCUCACUCUCUACCCUGUACAGGGUUGUGAUCCAGAGCUGGAUUUCAGACCCCUGUUUCUACAGGAACUCUAAACAAGCCCAGACACUCGGCUGGGAAGUGAGAGACUCAAAACAACGUGAGAAGUAGAAAGCGGGCAAGUUUGUUGGGGCCAUAUGUAACUUCAUGAAUAUCACUGUUUCAAGGACUAAGUUAUAAGUUUUACCCUUUUCAGAUAAGGAAAACAGAGUGUGAGUGGGGUUAGAAAGAGGAAAAACAGCAAGCCAAGUUGAAUCACUCAUCCUGAGAGGCAUUCAAAUACAGAGUUAUGGAGAAAGCGACUUUCCUCCACAAGGGUAAACCCCUCAACAGCAGCUGGUAAACCUCAGUCCACAGCGCAGAGUGUGAGAAAGGGAAGAUUUCAAACAACUUAAAUACAAAGAAAACACUUUUUUAAAACAUUAGUGAUUCUUUUCCACAUUUCCCUUUAGGCUCUAUUCAUACGGAAAAUAUUCCGCUACACCUCACAGCAAUAUAUCUUAUUUUUUUUAAUAUGCAGCAACCGUCAGCCAACUCAUAGCUGAAGCAGGGACACUGUGCAGCUCUUGGAGCUUGUUCUUAGUAUGUGUUCAGAGGGCUAAUACUCUGUCAAGCAGGGCGGAUGAUAGCCAGAGCAAACAGCCACGGUCCCCACGGUGGAAAAUAACGUUGCCAGAAAAUUCCGCACAUCUGGAAAGAACAGCAAUGAACAGGAACUUGUGCAUUCGUGCUAGGCUCCUACUGGGCCCGCUUCGUUUCAUUUCCUCCAUUUUUAUGACACUUUCCCAUGCUGCUACUCCAGACAUUCCAUCAAACACCUCGCCACGAACAAAUUGAAAGGGAAGGAAAUCUAAAGAAAGUCUGACUGAAUUUCUGAGUGUCUCAUCACUAGAAUGACCAGGAAAACCUGCCAGGAGUGUAGAUUCAGGCCCCUAAUCCCACUUCUCUGCAGUCUCCUCUUGGUCUCUGUGUAUAAGCUCUCCUGCCUUUUUGCACCUCUAAUCCAUUGUCAGACAAACUGGCCUACUUGUGUUUGCCUCUGAGAGCCUGUCCACUUCCUCACGUUAGGAGAAAGAACACAAAGAAUCCUAGCUUUGAUUCAGUUUUCCAUACUUCAGCCAUCAGUCUACCAUCAAGCACAUUUUUUACUGGGCAAAUGAAAAGUCAUUGCUUUCAAUUUUUUUUUUUUUUUUUUAGACUGAAUCUCACCUGUCACCCAGGCUGGAGUGCAGUGGCACAAUCUCGGCUCACUGCAACCUCUGCCUCCCAGGUUCUAGCAAUUCUCCUGCCUCAGCCUCCCAAGUGGCUGGGAUUGCAGGUGCCCACCACCAUGUCCAGCUAAUUUUUUUGUAUUUUGAGUAGAGACGGGGUUUCACCAUGUUGACUAGGCUGGUUUUAAACUCCUGACCUCAAAUGAUCCACCCACCUCAGCCUCCCAAAGUACUAGGAUAAUAGGUGUGAGCCACAGCACCCCGCCAAUAUUUUUGUUUCUAAUAAAACAAGAACUAGUAGUGCACUCCGUCUAGAGCAAGAUAGUGUGGUGGGGACAGGGAGCAAGUAGGUAGGGGAUAAAUAGGUCAAGAACUGAAUUCACAAUUGAGGCUUUAAGCUUGAUAAGAAAUAAAGCAAGUUUGAAUCAUCUGGGUCCCUGGGGAAGCAUUUGUUUAGAAAAAGAUCAAUAGUAAAUAAAAAUACCACGCACCUAGUUUCCAGGUAUUGAUUUAUCUAAAAGGGACCUGGCUUUCACAUAUUUACGAUAUGCAAGUGCAUUUCAAAGCUUUGCCUGACAGCUGGAUGCAAGCUGGGUGAGGCUGUAGGGGUGACAGUGUCAUCACAUGUGAGAGAGGCUGUGGGGGUGCAGGUGUCAUCACAUGUGAGAGAGGCUGUGGGGGUGACAGUGUCAUCACAUGUGAGAGAGGCUGUGGGGGUGACAGUGUCAUCAUAUGUGAGAGGCUGUGGGGGUGACAGUGUCAUCACAUGUGAGAGAGGCUGUGGGGGUGACAGUGUCAUCACAUGUGAGAGAGGCUGUGGGGGUGACAGUGUCAUCACAUGUGAGAGAGGCUGUGGGGGUGACAGUGUCAUCACAUGUGAGAGAGGCUGUGGGGGUGACAGUGUCAUCACAUGUGUGAGAGGCUGUGGGGGUUCAGGUGUCAUCACAUGUGAGAGAGGCUGUGGGGGUGACAGUGUCAUCACAUGUGAGAGAGGCUGUGGGGGUGACAGUGUCAUCACAUGUGAGAGAGGCUGUGGGGGUUCAGGUGCCACCACAUGGGAGACAGGCUGUGGGGGUGACAGUGUCAUCACAUGUGAGAGAGGCUGUGGGGGUGACAGUGUCAUCACAUGUGAGAGAGGCUGUGGGGGUGACAGUGUCAUCACAUGUGUGAGAGGCUGUGGGGGUUCAGGUGUCAUCACAUGUGAGAGAGGCUGUGGGGGUGACAGUGUCAUCACAUGUGAGAGAGGCUGUGGGGGUUCAGGUGCCACCACAUGGGAGACAGGCUGUGGGGGUGCUGGGUACCACCACAUGUGAGAAUACAGAAAACACAAAGCCGUCAGCUACGGAGAAUUAAAAUCAAAUUCGC
rnacentral:lncRNA from 1 species